UUGCUGCAGUAGCGCGGCACUGGAUGAGAUAAGCACUCUAACCUCUCCCCUCCCGCACCGACGGACGACGCCACACACUCACCCCGCCCUAGACAUACACCCCACCCCAGACCCACACACACUCCACCCCAGACUGCCCUAUGCUUCAGUGGGGCCACACUUUGUUCACCCACCUACCCCCCCUCCACACACACACACACACACACACAUGUAUGCUCACACACAAGGAAGGGGAGGGGAAAACUGUAUCAGGUCAUCAGCAGCAAAAUAGACGAUGACAGUAUUACAGCUUGAGAUCGUGGCCCUAGGAGACACUCACACACACAACACAUGCUCUCUCUCUCACACACACACACACACACACACACACACACACACACACACACACACACACACACACACACACACACUACAGACACACACACACACAACACACACACACUCACACACACACACACACACACACACACACACUCACACACACACACACACACACACACACUACAGACACACACACACACACACACACACACACACACACACACUACAGACACACACACACACACACACACACCACACACACACACACACACACACACACACACACUACAGACACACACACCACACACACACACACACACACACACUACAGACACUACAGACACACACACACACACACACACACACACACACACACACCAAACACACACACAGACACACACAGACACACACACACACACACACACACUCACACACACACACACACACACACACACACACACACACACAUUGGCCCUUGAGUGGAACUCCUCUAGAGAGUACCACCCUGUCCCUCCUGCGUGACCUUUCAAACCUACUUUUGGUAAAGGGGUGUUUGGAAAGUACAUGUGUAUGUAUGUGUGUGUGUGUGUGUGUGUGUGUGUGUGUGUGUGUGUGUGUGUGUGUGUGUGUGUGUGUGUGUAAGAGAGAGAAAGAGAGAGAGAAAGACAGAAGGAGAGAGAUGGAGAGAGGAAGAGAGAGAGAGAGAAAGAUGAAGAUCCGUGGUAGGCAUAUGUGUGUGUUAUCUUUGUAAAGUGUGAUUAGGUUGUGUGUGCAUAUGUGCAUGUGUGUGAGAGAGAUGAGCAAAUCGGAGUGUGAUCAG
rnacentral:lncRNA from 1 species